CAAAUUCGGCAGAAAAUUCAACAUUUCACAUCCGGGAACUGCAGGAAGAGCAGUAGAGUGCCGAUGCAUCAUCUCUAUCUGCUGUUAGUCUUCUUCACCAGCAGGUGCCGCUAGCGGCUGUUUAGGAAGACCAAAGCAACGCUAGUAAGUCAUUCAUUCAUUCAUAAAAACCGAUAAAAACGGAUUUACAGAAUUAGAGCAAGCGGUAAGUGAAUGUGUGAUGAUUAUCAGGGCCAGUAUAAAUGCAGAAAAGCUGAUAAAGACACAAAAGCUGCAUUUAUGUUUAAUUCAGUGUCUUUAUGCUUACUUUCCCUGUGUAGCUAAAGAUUUCUCUCCAGUGAACAAGAUAACGUGAUUGCCCGAUGCUGGUGUAUAGAUCAAACGUUAAAUCUGAGAUAGACAUAUAUUUCUCUCUGUUGUUUAGUUUCCUUAACUUUAUAUCGCAGCGCUGUGUUGUAAUACUACACAGUAAAAAACAUUGGGUUAUUUUAUUAACCCAACCGUUGGGUUACACAUAUUGGGUCACUAGGUUGGGUUAUUUACCAAAAAUGUUGGGUCAUUUUUAAAAACGUUGGGUUAUUUUUAUUAAUAACCCAUCUGUUGGGUUAAAUGCGGAUCCCGUGACGGUUCAAAAUUUAACGGUCCAGGGACAGUCAACGGAAAGAAGCUGCUGCAGGUUGAUUAUGAAGGUUGGGAUGUCUGGAAAGUGCCGUUUGAGACGAGCCGAGCCGCGCCGCACGGACCGUUUAUCAGCUCGGCCUACGCAGCGCGAGCUCGGUCCUCGAUCCUCGAUCAUACGACAAAUGGAAUAAUUUGUGAAGCAAAGACUACAACAACCUGCUAUUUAAUGGAAACAUUUGAAGGUAAGCUAUUUAAAUAAGUGACAACUUACUGACAAUAUUUCAUUUUUCUGUUUCUGUUUAUUGUAACAGAACAAGAAGUGGAUGAAAGUUUUAUGCUGCUGGAUGACUGUGGUUCUCAACUGGUCCUAGAUUAUCCCCAACAAUACACAUUUUUGAUGUCUUCCUUAUCUGACACCCUUUUACGGCCUUGGAGUCUCUCUGCUAACAAACUGACGGUCAUGGAGAAACUGCCUUCAAAACCCUUCCCGUUGUCCUGCCAUCAUCGCCAUGUCUCACAGAUGGGAAAAUGGUGCUGAAAUGAAGCACAGCUUAACUGACAAUCACCCUGUUGGCACUAAUACAAUGCAUUACCUGAGCAGUGAGACAAGCCAGGAUCCACAUGACUUGAUGCCUUGAGGACAAAGAGAACUCCCAAGUUUUUUAUGUAUAUAUAUAUUUUUUUUUGGAUCCACUUCAAAUGUUGACUAUUAAGAGGGGUUCCUUCAACACUGCUGCCUCCUUAAGAACUUUGAUCAUCAUCAUUAGGUCCAACAUAUUUGUGGUUUUAUUACUUAAGGUAUGUUUACAACACAUCAAUGCAUACAAUGUACAGUGUUGACCCACAAAAUAGAACCGGAGUCCUAUUCCAUUAUUCCUACCUGUGGCCGACCUCACUGUGGACCUCAAGCGCCUGCUGUACGCGUGAUAUGUUUAUUUAUUGAAGGAUUUAAUGUUAUGAAUUUAUGUGUACUCGUAGUUUUUCAUUUAGUGUUCAUUUUGUAUUUGUGUGUUAUGUAUAUGUGCAUAUUUCAUGUAUGUUUUGAGUUUACAUGGUUGCAAAGGUUUUAAAUAUAGGUUUUAAUUGUGUACUGUUUGCAAAUUUAUAGGUUUUGAAUUUAAUAUUUACUGUACACUUUUGUGUAUGCUUUAGUAUAAUUAGGCCUACUACUAAAUUAGUAGUGAUUACCAUAAGAUUAGUUAAAAAAUAGUGUAAUAAUAUUUAAAUAGUGUUCAUUUCGAAUUUUUGUGUUUUGUAUACAUAUUUUAUUUAUGUUUUAAGUUUACUCUGUACAUGUUUGUGUAGGUUUUGAAUUGAUUUACACUUGUGUUUUGAUAAUAUGUACACUUAUAUUUACAUUAAAUGGCUCCACAAUAUUUCAUUUGUAAUUUAAAAUAUAUUUGUUAAAACAUAUUAUUUUAUACAAAUAAACAAUCUAGAAAACAAAGUGUAUUUUAUAUAUUAAAAUAAUAUCAUGAAUAAAAGUUAAUAGUCAUAGUUAGUAAAUAACCCAAC